UUUAGGACAGGCAAACGUCGCCCUAUAAACCCACAAAUAGUGUCCUAUUUUAGUAUAGAUUGAUAAAAAAAAAUCAUAUACUGAGAUUUGAGAAAAGAAGAUGCAACAAAAUACUCGCAUUUGGACCCACUUUUUGGAUAACAUAAUAGUGAAUGUAUCUUUGACAAAAGCUCUUUAUUUCACCUAAUAUUAACACUUUAAAAAAAAAUGUACAAAAACAAUAAGUUGAAAUCCAACGUUAUUCCUCCAGCAUCUCCUAUAGUCCAUGUCCAUAGGGCUGAGCAGAAUUCAGUUCAAACCGAAAAACCGAACCG
rnacentral:misc_RNA from 1 species